rnacentral:rRNA from 1 species
AUUGAACGCUGGAGGCAGGCCUAACACAUGCAAGUCGAGCGAGAGGCGGACGGGUGAGUAAUGUCUGGGAAACUGCCUGAUGGAGGGGGAUAACUACAGGAAACGGUAGCUAAUACCGCAUACCAUCAGAUCUGCCCAGAUGGGAUGAGCUAGUAGGUGGGGUAACGGCUCACCUAGGCGAAGAUCCCUAGCUGGGCUGCUAGGAUGACCAGCCACACUGGAACUGAGACACGGUCCAGACUCCUACGGGAGGCAGCAGUGGGGAAUAUGGCACAAUGGGCGCAAGCCUGAUGCAGCCAUGCCGCGUGUGUGAAGAAGGCCUUCGGGUUGUAAAGCACUUUCAGCGGGGAGGCAUUACCCGCAGAAGAAGCACCGGCUAACUCCGUGCCAGCAGCCGCGGUAAUAC